CCUACGGGGGGCAGCAGUGAGGAAUAUUGGUCAAUGGACGAGAGUCUGAACCAGCCAAGUAGCGUGAAGGAUGACUGCCCUAUGGGUUGUAAACUUCUUUUAUAUGGGAAUAAAAUGUUCCACGUGUGGGAUUUUGUAUGUACCAUAUGAAUAAGGAUCGGCUAACUCCGUGCCAGCAGCCGCGGUAAUACGGAGGAUCCGAUCGUUAUCCGGAUUUAUUGGGUUUAAAGGGAGCGUAGGUGGAUUGUUAAGUCAGUUGUGAAAGUUUGCGGCUCAACCGUAAAAUUGCAGUUGAAACUGGCAGUCUUGAGUACAGUAGAGGUGGGCGGAAUUCGUGGUGUAGCGGUGAAAUGCUUAGAUAUCACGAAGAACUCCGAUUGCGAAGGCAGUUCACUGGACUGCAACUGACACUGAGGCUCGAAAGUGUGGGUAUCAAACAGGAUUAGAUACCCUAGUAGUC
rnacentral:rRNA from 1 species